rnacentral:rRNA from 1 species
UACGGAGGGUGCAAGCGUUAAUCGGAAUUAUUGGGCGUAAAGCGCGCGCAGGCGGUCCUUUAAGUCUGAUGUGAAAGCCCACGGCUCAACCGUGGAGGGUCAUUGGAAACUGGGGGACUUGAGUACAGAAGAGGAAAGCGGAAUUCCACGUGUAGCGGUGAAAUGCGUAGGUAUGUGGAGGAACACCAGUGGCGAAGGCGGCUUUCUGGUCUGUAACUGACGCUGAGGCGCGAAAGCGUGGGGAGCAAACAGG